rnacentral:lncRNA from 10 species
CCAUGUGAUACCUGGAGAACAAGCUAGCAAAUAUUGAGUUCAGGUACAAGCUACAGGUAGCUGAUGGGCAUCAGCUGAUCUCCAAAAAGCUGGAGGACUGGAGAGUAGUUUCAAGGCUGUGGAUUUCCAAGUGUUCCUCCUUCCCUUCCUGCUGUUGCCCUAGUUACACAGCUGCUGGAACAGCACCACUAAUUAGGUGAUGUCCCUUGUUCCCCACCAUCUGGAUGUCACGGCCCAGUCCCAGCCCAAGUCUCCCUUGUGACUCUCCUUCCUGGCAUUGUGUACCAUGCUC